rnacentral:lncRNA from 1 species
CAUAUGUCAAGGAUCGAUAUUUUGUCGAAGAAACUGUGGAAGUCAUUAGGAACAAUGGUGCAAGGUUGCAGUGUAGGAUUUUGGAAGUCCUCCCUCCAUCACAUCAAAAUGGUUUUGCUAAUGGACAUGUUAACAGUGUGGAUGGAGAAACUAUUAUCAUCAGUGAUAGUGAUGAUUCAGAAACACAAAGCUGUUCUUUUCAAAAUGGGUUUCCCCUGUUAACAGCCAAAUAAUGAAGUUGAUCUACAAUCACAAAUUCUCUGGAAUCUGAACUAAAUUGAUAGACAGUCCUGACUCAGACAGUCACUAGUUUUCCAUCUGAUUUUAGUAGCCAGAUGUGCCAGGUAUAGGAAGAAAAAAGAUGCAAUUGAUCCCUUACUAUUCAAGUAUAAAGUGCAACCCACUAAAAAAGAAUUACAUGAGUCUGCUAUUGUUAAAGCAACAC